UCUAGGGAAACUCCACUUCAAGGUCAUCGAGCUAAGUUGAAGCUCAACUUUAGCUGAAUGUCUUCCGUUCACCUCAAUUUCACACAGUAUCAGCUUAGAUUCAUUGACUCUUUCAAAUCCUUUGAUCUGCCAACCAUGUAUUCUUCCUCAUCUGCUUGAUUCAUGUGAUUUAAUGUGAAGUCUUGGAAUAUUUAUAAUUUUCCCCUUUGUACCCUGUUAAUUGAUGUGCCGCAAGAUUCAUUACCUGUUGCUCUUGAUUUGAGUUUUUUUCUGAAUGACGAACCCCUCUCUGUGGUGUGUUGUAUUCCUAGCUUCAGCGUUCACCUGAGGUUUUUAGUCUCAAGUAGUCUAAAAUAUUGAUUGUACGAUUUGUGUAUGUUGAUUAAGUAACUCUGCUGUAACCUGUAGUCGACCCCAUUUAUAUGUCCCUCAAAGCUCUCACCAGAGACAUGGUUACUAACUACCUUGAGAAUUUCUCUAAGCUCUGCCAGUUUGAUAAAAUAAUCAAGAGGUUGACUUUUGGACCCGAAUCCUUUUAUGAUUAUUUGAGUAUCCUUAGGUUCGUACUUUGACAUGGAAUUUAUGCUUGUUAAACUUCGACCAUUCGGAAGCACUCGCAUCCGCCCCUUCAAUGGCGUGAGGGAUUGUGGUGCCCGCUCCGCUUUGAGAUUGUGAUCCUUGCUUCGGCGUUUAGCCUCGUGACUGAUCUCGAGGCGGUCUAUUUCGAGAUUACAGGAUGAGCCAUCAGACAGCUGCAGCCCUGGAUCUCCUCCUAUCUUGAUUUGCCUAUUUAGAUUUCCGGACAGUUUCAAUUUGUAUUUCGGACUUGUACUAUUUAGAAGCACUUGUAUGAAUUAGACCAGAUUUUGGAGUUUUAAAGACUAUAGUAUCAUUUCCGCACUUAU